CUUUGAAUCACCUGAGGAUCUUGUUGAAAUGCAGAUCCUGAUUCAGUAAGUCUGGGAUGGACUUGAGAAUCUGCAUUUUUUACAAGUUCUCCGUGAUGGCCAU
rnacentral:miRNA from 1 species